rnacentral:snoRNA from 1 species
GAGCCGAUGACACUUUAUGUUUCUACUGAUAUAUUUGAUGUCUAAAAAUCGAGCUUUUUAAAACUGAUGCUCA